AGUACAAUCCCCGGGAAAAAAUUGACCAACCACAACGUUAUUAGUUAGUUGGUAACUGACGCAGGUCUGACGCUCAACGUCAAGUACGUAACUCUGCUUCUCAAUUUUCUGACAAAGCCGCCAUCUUUGUGCUGCAGGAAAGCCGUUUGAGAUAUUGGUGAAAUUCAAACACUUUGUGAGAUGACAGAAUAUUGCUGAAGGAUCCUACAUGGAAGCUGGCUGAUUACACGGAGUGAUUCCUCUGGUGUGGUGUACCUCAGAGAAAUAAACACUGUUGCAAGAGCUGAGAAGAUGGCCAAGAUAUCCUUAUUGCUGGAUGGUAGCUCUGGUCGUAGUGGACCAUAUCUGCAAAUGCGUCUGAACAUUGACAGAAUUUCUAAAGAUGACUGAGAAUAUUACUGAAGGAUCCUACAUGGAAGCUGUCUGAUUACACUGAGCGAUUCCUCUGGUGUGGUGUACCUCAGAGAAAAUAAACACUGUUGCAAGAGGUGAGUUUAAGUUCAUGAAUUCACACAAAACCAAUCCAUGUAUUUUAUAAAAGUCAAAGUGCUAAACAUGCUAUGUAUUUCAUGCUGUCAAUAUGAGAUGCAAAUUAAUGUUGUGUGUUAAUGUUGUGUGCAGCUGUUAAUUCUGAUUGGGAAAAUUGCACUUUUCAUACAUGAAAAGGGAGAUCUUAUCCGUGGUCCACCAUUUUGUAUUUCCAGAAAUAGCAAUUUUUAGCUGAAAAGCUUAAUAUACCGGUAAUAAUUUGGUCAUACUAGUAAACAUUACUUCAUUACCGGUAUUUAGUAAAUAUUAAUGAAAACCAAGAUAGAAUUUGGCAGUAGACGGCACAGUUUCACUGAGCAACAUAGUUGCAAUACCUAUUCUGGCCAUCUUUUUAGAGCUUCUUAUCUACUAAAGAUGUACCGUAGACAUGCUUGUGUGUUCUGCAGUCAUUCAGAUAACAUAAAGAAAUUGUACAAAUCAUCCACUAGAUGGCACUCUAAGACCACAAAUGGAAGAGCAAUGACGAAUGAUGAAUUAGGCCAGGGGUUCCCUUACAUGGCAAGGUCCCCAGUAUACUAGUGGAUCUUAGCUGAGUCCCUCACCCUUAAAGGUGCACUGAGUAAUAUUUUAGUAGGUUCUUUUCAGAAGUUAUACUGCCCAUACACAAAUGUUGCCUUUUUCGUGACUACUUGCCACCACCAUCACAUUGUAAGAAUUCAUUGUGACCGGGAAAAUGGCACUUUUCAUACAUGGUUCAAGCACUUGAUGUAUUUACUCCAGGAGGAAAAUGCGAAGGAAAUUGUAAUUCAAAUCGUUUGUAACAAAAACGGAAAUUGGUUAAAAAAAAAAAAAAAUUAUAAUAAUAAUAUUUUUUUUUCCUUCUUUUUUUUUACUUUCUUUUUUUCGUAAACUAUGGCGGCCAAAUUUAAACUAUGGCGGGCAGCCAUAGUUUACUCACUGUAAGGGAAACACUGGUAGUGCGAAUUCGUAGAGGGAUGCGAUUUGACAUUGGUGAAACCCCAACAUCAUACAAAUUAGAUGGUCCCAAAGCUUUCACGAAAAGAUCAAAUUUGGCAAUAGGCAGCACAGUUUCAAUGAGAAUCAUAGUUGCAAUACCUACUCUGGCCACAAACGUACAUGGUGCACCUUUAAAACAACUGUGAAUCCCAGUGUAAUGUAAUGUAAUGCUGCAAGAUGCUAAGUGUGUCUGUCUUUUUUUUUAGGUCACUGCUACUGCAGCAGAUGUCGCAAGUCUUUCUCUGCCCAACGCCCCAAGGCUGUUUGCACUUGGUUCAUUCUCAGAAUAAACCCAGAGGGCUCCAAAUGCCAGGCCAAGUCCAUCACCAGCAAGAAGACCGGUAAAAAGGUGCAAAGGAAGAGCAGCAGUGUCAACCCUGUUGUUGCUUCAUUCAUCAGGGAACUUGUUGGUUUUGACUGGCUGAAUUAUUAAUGCUUGACCUUUUGAAGUUCCAAUCACUUGUUUCUUUUAAGUAGUUCAGUCCGAGCAUUGCACCAAAGGCUCGAGGCCCUGUUGUUCUUGCUGUGUUUUCCCCCCUUCUCCCCGUUUCAAAACUUAUUUGGCACAGUUUUUCGAUAUUGUGUCAUGUAUAAGACUUUUAAAAGAGUGACUCUAUUGCGCACCCUAGCACAGAGAUGUUCGGGGCUGGAAUAUAGUUAUAGUUAUAGAAUAUAGUUGAAGCUACGGACUCUGGACCUUCUUUGUGGUAUGUACUUAUCUCAUUAAGAUGAACAAAAAAAGGUCAAUACGAGCAUAUGGCCACGCCCAACAGGAAAUGAGAUAUUGGACUGUUUUCCAUUUUGCAUACAUUGGAAUUUGAAGCACCCACCACAAACCAUACAACAGUUUUGUCUUGAUUAAUGUUUGGGGUAUCUCAUUUUAAUAGAAUAGAAUCUUUUUAUUUGUCAAUGUGAAUGAAAUAAAAAAAAAAGAAAAAUAUGUAUACAACUGAAGAGUUCAGAUGCAAAACCCCCUAACUCCAUUUCUGAAGACCUGCACUUUUAUAUUUUUAGAGAACCCCAUUGUUGGUUUGGUUUACAUUCAUGUACUUGAUAAUACAUAUGAAUAGUUAUAUUACAUAAAUAACAUUUUAAAAAUGUGGAAUUUUGAUAGCUUUGUAUUAAAUAAAAAUGAAACAAGAUUAUUUUCUGAAAUGGCACUUAUGGGGUUUUGCAUCUAAACUCUUCAACUAUAUACAAAGGUUAUGGAUUGUGCAUUUGUGAGAAGCAGGACCCCCUUCCUACUGGAGUAUGUUGUUAAAUUGUUAACCAGUUUUAAUUAAACAUUUUGAUUGCA